GGGGUUGUAGCUCAGUGGUAGAGUGCUUGCCUCGCAUGCAUGAGGCACUGGGUUUGAUCCUCAGCACCA
rnacentral:tRNA from 1 species